CCCCUCAGGGCGCUCAAAGAAGUCUGCCACAUCCAAGUGGGUGAUGUCAAAAUUAUUGUCAGAGACAAAAUUGGUUUCAGGGCCUUUACUCUUAAGAGAUGCUUGAUAAAGCUCAACCAAAUGUCUUGGUACACGGCAAAUGUUUUUGCCCAGUGCCCUUUUCCACCGCAACGAUAACAUAUAGUUUCUGAACUAUUUG
rnacentral:lncRNA from 1 species